AGUGAACGCUGGCGGUAGGCCUAACACAUGCAAGUCGAACGGCAGCACAGUAAGAGCUUGCUCUUACGGGUGGCGAGUGUCGGACGGGUGAGGAAUACAUCGGAAUCUACUUUUUCGUGGGGGAUAACGUAGGGAAACUUACGCUAAUACCGCAUACGACCUACGGGUGAAAGCAGGGGAUCUUCGGACCUUGCGCGAUUGAAUGAGCCGAUGUCGGAUUAGCUAGUUGGCGGGGUAAAGGCCCACCAAGGCGACGAUCCGUAGCUGGUCUGAGAGGAUGAUCAGCCACACUGGAACUGAGACACGGUCCAGACUCCUACGGGAGGCAGCAGUGGGGAAUAUUGGACAAUGGGCGCAAGCCUGAUCCAGCCAUACCGCGUGGGUGAAGAAGGCCUUCGGGUUGUAAAGCCCUUUUGUUGGGAAAGAAAAGCAGCAGGUUAAUACCCCGCUGUUCUGACGGUACCCAAAGAAUAAGCACCGGCUAACUUCG
rnacentral:rRNA from 1 species